UACGGGGGAUGCAAGCGUUAUCCGGAUUUAUUGGGUUUAAAGGGUGCGUAGGCUGUGAGGUAAGUCAGCGGUGAAAUGCCCCCGCUCAACGGGGUGAAGUGCCAUUGAUACUGCCUUGCUGGAAUGCGGAUGCCGUGGGAGGAAUGUGUGGUGUAGCGGUGAAAUGCAUAGAUAUCACACAGAACACCGAUUGCGAAGGCAUCUCAUGAAUCCGCUAUUGACGCUGAUGCACGAAAGCGUGGGUAUCAAACAGG
rnacentral:rRNA from 1 species